rnacentral:rRNA from 1 species
UGUGGUUAAAAAGCUCGUAGUUGGAUCUCGGCGGACUGAGGGCGGUUUGCUUGCUAGUAUUACUGCCCUAUAGUCCGUAGUUUUGCCAGAGGUUUCGGGGUGCUCUUAAUCGAGUGUCCCGGGAUGCUGGCAGGUUUACUUUGAAAAAAUUAGAGUGCUCAAAGCAGGCUAUUACGCCUGAAUAUUCGUGCAUGGAAUAAUAGAAUAGGAAGUCGUUUCUAUUUUGUUGGUUUUCGGAAAUCGACUUAAUGAUUAAUAGGGACAGUCGGGGGCAUUUGUAUUCAAACGACAGAAGUGAAAUUCUUGGACCGUUUGAAGACAAACUACUGCGAAAGCAUUUGCCAAGAAUGUUUUCAUUAAUCAAGAACGAAAGUUAAAGGUUCGAAGGCGAUUAGAUACCGCCCUAGUUUUAACCAUAAACGAUGCCAGCUAGCGAUCUGCGGACGUUUUUUUUGUAGACUCCGCAGGAAGCUUCCGGGAAACCAAAGCAUUUGGGUUCCAGGGGAAGUAUGGUUGCAAAGCUGAAACUUAAAGGAAUUGACGGAAGGGCACCACCAGGAGUGGAGCCUGUGGCUUAAUUUGACUCAACACGGGAAAUCUCACCAGGCCCGGACACUGGAAGGAUUGACAGAUUGAUAGCUCUUUCU